UGGACCAGGGGUGCUGACUGAUGGCAGAGGAAUCAUGUGGUGAGUACUAUGUGUCUGGAACUCUGAGGUCCAC
ensembl:snoRNA small nucleolar RNA, C/D box 114-7